AAGUUAGACCUCUACCUCAUACCAUACAGAAUUAACUCAGGAAUUGACCAUCCAAAAAUCUUCCCACUAGGUUUUCUAUUUGAUGCUUUGCUAGCAUUUGGCCUAUUAGGAACAUCC
rnacentral:snoRNA from 1 species